UACAGAGGUUGCAAGCGUUGUUCGGAAUUACUGGGCGUAAAGGGCGCGUAGGCGGCCAUCUAAGUCAGACGUGAAAUCCCCCGGCUUAACCUGGGAACUGCGUCUGAUACUGGAAGGCUUGAGUAUGGGAGAGGGAUGUAGAAUUCCAGGUGUAGCGGUGAAAUGCGUAGAUAUCUGGAGGAACACCGGUGGCGAAGGCGGCAUCCUGGGCCGGUAUUGACGCUGAUGCGCGAAAGCCAGGGGAGCAAACGGG
rnacentral:rRNA from 1 species